rnacentral:rRNA from 1 species
UACGCAGGGUGCGAGCGUUAAUCGGAAUUACUGGGCGUAAAGCGUGCGCAGGCGGCUUUGCAAGACAGAUGUGAAAUCCCCGGGCUCAACCUGGGAACUGCAUUUGUGACUGCACAGCUGGAGUGCGGCAGAGGGGGAUGGAAUUCCGCGUGUAGCAGUGAAAUGCGUAGAUAUGCGGAGGAACACCGAUGGCGAAGGCAAUCCCCUGGGCCUGCACUGACGCUCAUGCACGAAAGCGUGGGGAGCAAACAGG